rnacentral:ncRNA from 2 species
UCUUCGAUGCUGACCCCGCAUCAUAUAAGUCAGUAAUGGGACUGACGUUUCUACAAAGCACCGAAAAUGCUUAACUAUGGGGGCAAAAAUGCUAUCU